GGCCGAGCUUUCGUAAUAGAGUAACUACUCAAACCCACCGACGCUUUACAUACGUCAUAGUUGUAUUACUUCCGUGAAGCAACAGCUUUCUUACUACUCGGCAGUCGCAUGACUCGCGUAACGCUGGAAGCCCACCUCCAGGAGGCAAAUUGGGUAUACUCUGGUCAAGAAGCAUCUGAAGAAGUGUCAUGAACUUAAAGUCCUUUUUGCCUUCUUCACGGGAAAUUAUAUCUGUUGAAAAAAAAAGUUGAUAUCAAAAUACAAGAGCACCAACAAAAAACCACUUGACAACAAAGGAUGGUUAUUUAUUCGCGGAUUCAUAUGCUUGUCAGGUGCGUUCGCGAACACGUGAUCGCGCUGAUCGCCUAUUAAUGCAACAGCACAGAACUCUAAGUCGUCGGUGAUGAGCAACCUGGAGUGUAUGAAAUCGCAGAGAUCCUCGUUGGUCAUAACGUCCCAGAUGCCAUCACACGCCA